CCUACGGGAGGCAGCAGUGAGGAAUAUUGGUCAAUGGACGAGCGUCUGAACCAGCCAAGUAGCGUGAAGGAUGACUGCCCUAUGGGUUGUAAACUUCUUUUAUAAAGGAAUAACACGAGCCACGUGUGCCUUUUUUCAUGUACUUUAUGAAUAAGGCUCGGCUAACUCCGUGCCCGCAGCCGCGGUAAUACGGAGGAUUCGAGCGUUAUCCGGAUUUAUUGGGUUUAAAGGGGGGGUAGAGGGGUGGUUAAGUCAGUAGGGAAAGUUUGGGGCUCAACCGUAAAAUUGCAAUUGAUACUGGCAGUCUUGAGUGCAGUUGAGGUAGGCGGAAUGCGUGGUGUAGCGGUGAAAUGCUUAGAGAUCACGAAGAACCCCGAUUGCGAAGGCAGCUUACUAAGCUGUGACUGACAUUGAUGCACGAAAGUGUGGGUAUCAAACAGGAUUAGAUACCCUGGUAGUC
rnacentral:rRNA from 1 species